rnacentral:rRNA from 1 species
UACGUAGGUCCCAAGCGUUAUCCGGAAUUACUGGGCGUAAAGAGUUGCGUAGGUGGCAUAGUAAGCGAAUAGUGAAAGCGUGCGGCUCAACCGCAUACACAUUGUUCGAACUGCUAAGCUAGAAGACGAGAGAGGUAGCUGGAAUUCCCAGUGUAGGAGUGAAAUCCGUAGAUAUUGGGAGGAACACCGAUGGCGUAGGCAGGCUACUGGCUCGUUCUUGACACUAAGGCACGAAAGCGUGGGGAGCAAACGGG